AUUGAACGCUGGCGGCAUGCUUUACACAUGCAAGUCGAACGGUGACAGGCCGCAAGGUGCUGACGAGUGGCGAACGGGUGAGUAAUGCAUCGGAACGUGCCCAGUCGUGGGGGAUAACUACUCGAAAGAGUAGCUAAUACCGCAUACGAUCUAUGGAUGAAAGCGGGGGACCGUAAGGGCUCGCGCGGUUGGAGCGGCCGAUGUCAGAUUAGGUAGUUGGUGGGGUAAAGGCUCACCAAGCCAACGAUCUGUAGCUGGUCUGAGAGGACGACCAGCCACACUGGGACUGAGACACGGCCCAGACUCCUACGGGAGGCAGCAGUGGGGAAUUUUGGACAAUGGGCGCAAGCCUGAUCCAGCAAUGCCGCGUGCAGGAAGAAGGCCUUCGGGUUGUAAACUGCUUUUGUACGGAACGAAACGGCUCUGGUUAAUACCCGGGGCUAAUGACGGUACCGUAAGAAUAAGCACCGGCUAACUACGUG
rnacentral:rRNA from 1 species